GAUACCCUGGUAGUCCACGCCGUAAACGAUGAGUGCUAAGUGUAAGAGGGUUUCCGCCCUUUAGUGCUGAAGUUAACGCAUUAAGCAUUCCGCCUGGGGAGUACGGCCGCAAGGCUGAAACUCAAGGGAAUUGAGGGGGGCCCGCACAAGCGGUGGAGCAUGUGUUUUAAUUCGAAGCAACGCGAAGACCCUUACCAGGUCUUGACAUCUUCUGACACCCCUAGAGAUAGGGCUUCUCUUUCGGGAGCAGAUUGCCAGUUGGUCCAUGGUGGUCGUCAGCUCGUGUCGUGAGAUGUUGGGUUAAGUCCCGCAACGAGCGCACCCCUUGAUUUUAGUUGCCAUCAUUAAGUGGGCCAUUCUAAGGUGACUCCCGGUGACAACCCGGAGGAAGGUGGGGAGGACGUCAAUUCUCCAUGCCCUUUUUGCCUUGGGCUCCACACGGGUUCCAAGGGCCGGUACAAAGAGCUGCAAGACCGGGGGGUGGAGUUAUUUUCAUAAACCCGUUUUCAUUUGGGAUUGUAGGCUGCAAUUGCCCUACAGGAAGCGGGAAUCGUUGGAAUUCGCGGAUCAGCAUGCCGCGGUGAAUAC
rnacentral:rRNA from 1 species